rnacentral:ncRNA from 1 species
AAAUAAAUUUUUUAUGGUUUGAAAAAUUUAAUAUAAAUUUAUUUUACAUAUAAAUUUUAGUGAUAUAAUUAAUUAUUUUUAAUAUUAAUUAAUGGUUUAAAUGUAGUAAUUAAUAUUAAAAAUUUAAUAAAUUAAGAUUUAGUAAUAUUAAAAUUAAUAACAAAUUUUGUGCCAGCAGUUGCGGUUAUACAAAAAUUAAAUUAAAUUUUUUUAGGAUUUAAUAAAUAAGAUAAUUAAUUAAUAAUAAUUUAAAUUUUAAAUUAUAAAGUGAAAUUUUAAUUUAAUUAAAAUUUAUUUAUUUUUAUGACAUUAAUAAAUUUUGUAAAAAACUAGGAUUAGAUACCCUAUUAUAAAAAUUUAAAUAAAAUAAUCUUAAAAUAGUAUAUAAUUUUUUAUAGAAACUUAAAUAAUUUGGCGGUAUUUUAGUUCAUUUAGAGGAAUCUGUCUAAUAAUUGAUAAUCCACGAUUAAAUUUACUUAAUUUUUAAUUUUGUAUAUCGUUGUUAAAAAAAUAUUUUUAAAUAAUUAUAAUAUUUUAAAUUUUUUAUAAAAAAUUAAAUCAGAUCAAGAUGCAGAUUAUAAUUAAGAAUAUGAUGGAUUACAAUAAAUUUUAUUUUAUUUGGAUAUUAAUUUGAAAUAAAUUAAUUGAAAUUGGAUUUAAAUGUAAUUUUAUUUAUUUUAAUAAAAUGAUUGAAAAUUAAAAUAUGUACAUAUUGCCCGUCGCUUUCAUUUAUAAGUUGAAAUAAGUCGUAACAAAGUAGAGAUACUGGAAAGUGUUUCUAGAAAGAUU